GUCGAAGUCCGCCAGUGCUGUGGCGAAAGUAUGUGAUAUUUCACCAGACACUAGCCACUGUAAAAAAAAACAUUACAGAUAUUCAAGACUACUUCAGCUGAUUGAAGCAUAAUGGCGAAAAGAGUAGCUGUGAUUGGAGCAGGUGCCAGCGGCUUGACUGCCAUAAAAUGUUGUUUGGAUGAAAAGUUGGAAGUCGUGUGUUUCGAAAGAACUGACGAUAUUGGCGGACUGUGGAAUUACACGGAGGAGGCGCGAAAAGGUCAGGCAUGUGUGAUGAAAUCCACAGUGAUUAACACGAGCAAGGAAAUGAUGGCCUACAGUGACUUUCCUAUUCCCAAAGAGUACUCUAUUUUUAUGCACAACACCUAUGUCAAAAAAUACUUCCAGCUGUAUGCUGAAAACUUUGAUCUUUUGAAACACAUCCGUUUCAAUUCUGAGGUCAUGUAUGUGAAACAGGCAUCUGAUUUCGCUCAAACCGGCAGAUGGGAGAUGGAAGUUCAGGAUGUGGUCAACCAAACAAAAACGACAGAGUAUUUUGACGGGUUGCUGAUUUGCACAGGUCAUCAUGCUGACAUGCAUUUACCAACAUUCCAAGGUCAGGAAAAGUUCAAAGGUCAAAUCCUGCAUUCUCACGACUACAAGGACAUGAAAGGUUACGAGAACAAACGCAUCGUCAUUAUCGGCAUCGGGAACUCCGGAGGAGACAUGGCCGUGGAACUUAGUCGAGUGUCAAAGGUUUUCCUGAGCACUCGAAGAGGGGCCUGGGUUUUGAACCGUGUCGGUGACAAGGGAAUUCCCGCGGACAUGAAUGUAGCUUUCUCUCGCCUCGGUUCUGCCAUCUUUGAUUUGUUACCGAUGUCUGUGAAAGAGAUGCUGGUGCAAAAUAUACUUAACAAUCGCUUCGAUCAUGAAAGAUUUGCUCUGAAGCCACAGCAUUCCUUCUUUGGCCAGCAUCCCACCGUCAAUGACGACCUGCCAAAUCGCAUUGUUUGCGGUGCUGUUACCAUUAAGCCCAACGUAAGGUGCAUCACAGAGACUGGCAUUGAGUUCGACGACGGAACGUUUGAGGAAAACAUUGACGUCAUUGUUUUGGCGACAGGAUACAUUUUCGGCUUCCCGUUCAUGGACAAAUCUGUGAUCGAUGUAAAGAACAACAGAGUCGAGUUGUUCAAGUACAUGUUCCCACCUGAACUGGAGAAGCCUACCUGCGCUGUGAUUGGCUGCUUUCAGCCACUGGGGGCUAUCAUGCCCAUUUCAGAAAUGCAGUGUCGAUUAGCCACUCAAGUCUUUAAGGGCAUUACCAAACUGCCAACGCGCGGAGAGAUGUGGUUUGACAUCAAAAAGAAGGAGGUGGCCAUGGCGAAGCGAUAUGUGGCUUCUCAACGCCACACCAUACAGGUGGACUUUGUACCAAUCAUGGAUGAACUGGCAGAGCUUGUGGGGUGUAAACCUGACUUCAAAGAACUAUUUAAAACAGACCCCAAGCUGGCGUGGAAGUGUCUAACAGGGCCCUGUACCCCGUACCAGUUCCGUCUGAUGGGCCGUCACAAAUGGCCUGGAGCACGAGAUGCGAUCUUCACGCAGUGGGACCGAACGUUCCAUCCACUGAAAACACGUCCAGUCAUGGUUACCACAAAACAGAAGUCUUUGUUUCGUUACUUCUUCAUCCUGUUGUUUGUUGUGAUCAUUUGGUCUUUGUUGUUUUAAAAGCCGAUCAUAGACUUAGGUUUUUCUUUACUCCACUGACACGCUUAAUCAGUUUUUACAGGUUUUCCUAUUUCUGGUACCUGCCCUAAAUGACCAUAAAUUUUGUCCAUGGCUUAAGAGCUGAUUUUUCCUGAUUCUGAGAGUUCUGUUGAUUUUAGAAAGGUGUCUUUAGGUUUGCUUGGAACAUUGGAUGAUAUCCUGCUGGGAAAAUGCCAGUUUCAGGAGCAAAAAUAAUAUUUUCUGACAAUUAUUUGCCUGUAAAAUGUACUUUUGAGGAUGAAAUUCGAGGUGCAUUAUUGUAAUUUUUUUCAUUUUUUAGGACAGAUAUUAGUAGUGCAGAAAGCGAAAUAUUACAUUUUUCUCCCAGUUAAUGUGGAAAAGUAAAGAUUUUUAAGUUGUUCAUGAGAUGGACUGAGUCACAAUAAGUGGUUGGCAGGGUUUGUGGGGCCUGAGUCACAAUAAGUGGUUGGCAGGGUUUGUGGGGCCUGAGUCACAAUAAGUAGUUGGCGGAGUUUGUGGGGCCUGAGUCACAAUAAGUGGUUGACAAGGUUUGUGGGGCCUGAAUCACAAUAAGUGGUUGACAAAGUUUAUGGGGCCUGAGUCACAAUAAGUGGUUUGUGGCGCCCGAGUCACAAUAACUGGUUGGUGUGGUUUGUGGGGCCUGAGUCACAAUAAGUGGUUGGCAGAGUUUGUGGGGACUGAGUCACAAUAAGUAGUUGGCGGAGUUUGUGAGACCCGAGUCACAAUAAAUGGUUGACAUGGUUUGUAGGGCCCAACUCACAAUAAGUGGCUGGCGGGGUUUGUGGGGUUUACCUCACAGUAAGUGAUUGACGAGAUUUGUGGGGCCUUAAUCACAGUAAGUGAUCGAUGGGGUUUGUCGUAACUUGCCAAAGGUUGGUGGUUUACUCCAGGCAAUUUCAUUUCACUUAACGUCGAAUAAGCGAAAAAUUCUUAAGUAUGUCGUUAAGAAAAGACAGCUGAUAACGUAACCUUUGUUACAGUAUAUCUUAAGAUGGAUGAAAACUGGCCUACAUGUAAAUAUAGCCAAAGCCGUUUUAUCCUGAUGUCCUUGAUAAACUCCAUAAAUCAUCUUUUAAUCGGGACUUCAUAUGAAGGCAUGGGAUACUCUGUGUAAAGAAACUGCAUACAUGGUGUCAUGAAACAUGUACCCUACGUAUAUUCUGUAAGACGGAUCGAAAGCUGGAGACCACAUGAUCUCCGUAGUAACAACGUGGGCGAAGAAAACGGUCCUCCCAACAGGAAAAUGCCUAUUUUUGAGUCGCUAUCAGCGAUUAUUCGUUGAAUUUGUAUGCUUUUCAGCUUUCCAGAUAGUCUGAGUAUUUCUGCAGAGCUUCUCACCAAUGUGGUCGCAGUUAGUUCAAGUCCAGCUCAUGCUGGUUUCCUCUCCGGCCGUACAUGGGAAGGUCUGCCAACAACCUGCGGAUGGUCGUGGGUUUCCCCCAGGCUCUGCCCUGUUUCCUCCCACCAUAAUGCUGCCCGCCGUCAUAUAAGUGAAAUAUUCUUUAGUACGGGGUAAAACACCAAUCAAAUAAGUAAAUAUUUCUACAGAGCUUUCAUGACUUUAUUUUGUACAACUAGGCCUUACUGUUCGCUGGCGAAGUGGCAAGAAGUGACCUUUUCCCAAGUGCUUUAAUAGAGCCACAGGAGACAUAAAUCUGUUUGCUCAUACUCUUGUAGCUUAUACACAAAGCAGGAUAUAAAUAUAUAAUAGGAUAUAAAUAUAGAGUAAAAUUUUACAGAAUCGUCUGGUUUUAGAAGAAUCUUUAUUUUGAACUAUUUCUGUUUAAUGCACUGAUUUACAGUGAAACAAAAUUUACAUUUUUAAUAUCAAAACCUUAAUUAGUGUGUAUUUUUGAUAGAAGAACUGCAUACACUUCAUAUAUCCUUGUGCUUGAACAUCUAUACGUGGUUAUGCUGAAUUUGUAGAAAUUCAUUUUAUUAUUUUAUUGAAAUCUGCUGGAUUUAAUUUGUAUGCACUUGUACGAUAUCUGUGUAUAAAUAUUUGCGACGCAGUUUGAUUUAUUUUGCAUUCGCUAAUUUGUUUUUAUUUAAAUGCAAGGCAGGUGAUGUUUGGCAGCAUAAUUUUUAAUGUUACUCUAUCACAAUUCCGCACAUUUGCUGAAAUCUGAUUAAUGAAUAUAAUAUAUAUAUCAUAUUUUAGAUAUGAACUGAGAGAAGCAUUUGUGAUUAUUGCUGUCAUGCGUUAUAUGAAUGAUAUUGGGCCGAGGUCUCCAUGCCUACAAUAGUUAGCGUGCUAAUACAGAAAACUGACCUAGGAGCCUGUCACUAAUGAGGUCACUAUAACAGCGGUGGUAACGUCUACUUUUGUGAGAUGUCGGUUAAUCGCGGCAUAUGUAAAUCAGUCAGAAGAGAAUGCCAAAGUUUGGUGAUACUGAAGCUUUAUUUGUUGGAAAUGGAGAACGGCAGCCUGAAAAUCUCGAUACAUUGAGUCACAUAUGUUGUACAUGUAGUUAAGGGCAUUUACCCGUGGCAUUGUAAACUGCUGGUUUUCUUACAUGUGCACAGGUUUACUUGUUCGACAAGUUUACUUGUUUAUUUUGUUACAUGCAUAUACGCGUUUUUGUGUUGCUAUGGGCGACAACAUACCGGGAAACCUCGGCUGGAAAUACCGUCGCCCAGCCUCCUCUUUUAUGGUUGUCCAGUAGCUAUCCCAGCAUCCUCUUUUAUGGUCCUUGGUCCAGUAGCUAUCCCAGCAUCCUCUUUUAUGGUUUUUUUGUCCAGUACCUAUCACAGCAUCCUUUUUUAUGGUCCUUUCUCUAGUAGCUAUCCCAGAAUCCUCUGUUAUGGUCCUUUGUCCAGUAGCUAUCCUAGAAUCCUCUUUUAUGGUCCUGUGUCCAGUAGCUAUACCAGAAUCCUCUUUUAUGGUCCUUUGGCCCGUAACUAUCCCAGCAUCCUCUUUUAUGGUCCUUUGUCCAGUACCUAUCCCAGCAUCCUCUUUUAUGGUCCUGUGUCCAGUAGCUAUCCCAGCAUUUUUUUCCCACAUGUUAGGAACUGAGGUCUUAACGGUCUGAGGUCUUCAAAGUGCCACAAACUCUGCAGAGCUCUUUAACUGAAUUCUCCUCUUUCUCCAAACUAUAUACAUGUAUAUUUAUGCCUCAGGACUAGAUGGAAUUUUCCUCUAUAGUCUACUAGUUUUCGCCCAUGACUCAGUGGUGUGUGUUCAAUACCGACCAUGGACAAGAAAUUUGUAGGUUUCAGUAAUCUUACAGUUCGUAGUGGCCUUGGUGAGAAUACACGUGGUGUCUUUCACCAAAACGCCUGGCACAUCAUACUGGGGGAAGUUUGUACAUGUGACUUGCCAAUUAUUGGUCGUUUACCAUGGGCACUCUGGUUUCCGCCAGGUAUCCACAUAAGUAGAAAAAUUUUGUCGUUUUGAACAACAAUGAAUAAAUCAAUUAAAAAAUUA